AUUGAACGCUGGCGGCAGGCCUAACACAUGCAAGUCGAGCGGAUGAAGGGAGCUUGCUCCUGGAUUUAGCGGCGGACGGGUGAGUAAUGCCUAGGAAUCUGCCUGGUAGUGGGGGAUAACGUCCGGAAACGGGCGCUAAUACCGCAUACGUCCUGAGGGAGAAAGUGGGGGAUCUUCGGACCUCACGCUAUCAGAUGAGCCUAGGUCGGAUUAGCUAGUUGGUGGGGUAAAGGCCUACCAAGGCGACGAUCCGUAACUGGUCUGAGAGGAUGAUCAGUCACACUGGAACUGAGACACGGUCCAGACUCCUACGGGAGGCAGCAGUGGGGAAUAUUGGACAAAGGGCGAAAGCCUGAUCCAGCCAUGCCGCGUGUGUGAAGAAGGUCUUCGGAUUGUAAAGCACUUUAAGUUGGGAGGAAGGGCAGUAAGUUAAUACCUUGCUGUUUUGACGUUACCAACAGAAUAAGCACCGGCUAACUUCGUG
rnacentral:rRNA from 1 species